UCAGGACGAACGCUGGCGGCGUGCUUAACACAUGCAAGUCGAACGGACGAGCACCUUCGGGGUGUAAGUUAGUGGCGGACGGGUGAGUAACGCGUGAGUAACCUGCCUUGGAGUGGGGGAUAACACAGGGAAACUUGUGCUAAUACCGCAUAAGAUCAUAGGGUGGCAUCAUCUAGUGAUCAAAGAUUUAUUGCUCCAAGAUGGGCUCGCGUCCGAUUAGAUAGUUGGUGAGGUAAAGGCCCACCAAGUCAACGAUCGGUAGCCGGACUGAGAGGUUGGCCGGCCACAUUGGGACUGAGACACGGCCCAGACUCCUACGGGAGGCAGCAGUGGGGAAUAUUAGGCAAUGGGGGAAACCCUGACCUAGCGACGCCGCGUGAAGGAUGAAGGUUUUCGGAUUGUAAACUUCUUUGGCAGAGGACGAUAAUGACGGUACUCUGAGAACAAGCCACGGCUAACUACGUGCCAGCCGCUGC
rnacentral:rRNA from 1 species